rnacentral:lncRNA from 1 species
CUUAUAUCUCCAGAGGGGAUUAGUCCCUCUGCUUCAAAGUAACCAAAACAAAGAGAGAUGAGCCAGCUUCACUGGGAACAACACCUGUCUGUCAGACGAGGAUGGGCUGGCUCAUCAAACGGCAAUCAGCGCCUGUGUGCACGACUCGACAGCCUGGACGGCUAAUACCAAGAACCAGACGAAAUGAGAAUAUGGGAGGAGCAGACCCACUGAAGCUCUUUGAGUUCUUAUAUUUGUUUUUCUUAGUAACAUGUAAUAACUAAAAGAGAACAAUUGAGUCCGACAUCCUCUGCCACGGUUAGACUUUCAGCACAGACAUGCUUUAUAUGUGGAUCUCGAUGAAGACGAAAACGAUUCGAGCUCACAGUCACUCUUGAUAUCCAUCUAAGUCUUCAGCUGGCUGUACUUCUGUAGAUUGACUAUGUGUCAGUUCUGAUGUAUCUACCUAGUAACCUUGCUUGGCUGGAAACUAUUACAUUUUCUGGCAUUUUAUCACUUCACAGAUGUCACAAAGUAUCAUCCUUAUUUCCUUCUCACCCUAACAAGGAUAAGAUUUGGGACUGGGAGAAUCAGGGAAGGAGUCAGGCACCCCACAAGAAUACCUGCCAUGAGAAAUUGUGAAUGAAUUCAAAGAUCCGGGCAGGAUGAGGGACAUUGCUGACAUAGAGAAGCCAAGAGCCUAAAGUCUGUCUAAGAGCUAUGCCAAGACUCAAGAUUCGUACUAACAAGGCAGGAUGCGGUGCCCUCCACAUGUUUUAGAAGUAACCAGCCUAAAAUAACCCUCAUCAAGUGGACACAUCACAUAGAAAUUGAAAGUAUG